GGUGCUAUCGGCUACCACCAUAUGUAUAGGUAAUUCAUAAGACGAGGUGAAGGUUUCUCCCAGCCAGUGCUCACUGCCGUACCACAGCAGCGGUGUGCAGUAGAAUCACAUUCCACAAGAAAAGUUAGCGAGAAGGUCAGAUCCAUCCAUCUGCAUGGCAAUAGUCAGUGGGACGAUGGAUGUCCUCCUCCCUAAGCUGGCCGAGUUGCUUACCGAUGAGUUCAAGCUACACAAGGGGCUCAAGGAGGAGAUUGCAUCCCUUAGCCGCGAGCUGGAGAGCAUGCAGGCGGCGCUGGUGAAGAUAUCGGAGGUGCCGGUCGGGCAGCUCGACGGGCAGGUCAAGGUGUGGUCGAGGGAGGUGAGGGAGAUGUCCUACGACAUCGAGGACAGCAUCGACACCUUCACGGUCCGUUUUGGGGCUGCCCAAGAGCCCCCCGAGCCGCUUGGCUUGAUCAAGGGGUUCAUGGACAGGGUGAGGAGCCUGUGGGCAACCGCGUUGACUCGCCGCCAGAUCGCCGGAGAGAUCCAGCGCAUCAAAGGCGAAGUGGAGGAGGUUAGCCAACGGCGCAAGAGAUACAAGCUCGACGAUGAUCUUGUCAGGCCAUCUGCCGCGACAACCAUCGAUCCUCGUCUGCCGGCCCUGUACGAGGAUGCGUCCAGGCUUGUUGGCAUGGAAAGGCCAACAGGAGAUCUAGUCAAGUGGUUGAAGGAGGGGGAGGGCGCAUCAAAGCGGCAGCUCAAGGUGCUGUCCAUCGUCGGAGUCGGCGGCCUGGGCAAGACGACCCUAGCCAACACGGUGUUCCACAUGCUAGAAGGGCAGUUCCAGUGCCGGGCUUUUGUCUCGGUGUCCCUUACACCGGACGUAAAGAAGAUAUUUCGCAGCAUAAUUCGCCAGGUAAGUGGAGAAGAUUGCACCAACGGUGAAGAUUGGGAUGUUAAGGAACUUGUGGAUCAUAUCCGAAAUUUUCUCAAGGACAAGAGGUACUUAAUUAUAAUUGAUGAUAUAUGGGACCAAAAUGUGUGGACGAUUCUGAAAGUUGCUUUGAUCAAGAGCAAUUGUGGUAGUAGAAUAAUUACCACUACUCGGAAAGUUGGUGUUGCUGAAUCUUGUUGCUCUGAUUUCAAUGGUAGAGUGUAUCACCUAGCACCUCUCUCCCAUGGGGACUCAAAAAAAUUAUUCUACAAGAGAAUAUUUAAUUGUGAAGAUGAUUACCCCAAUGAGUUGAAAGAAGUAUCUGAGAAAAUACUGAAAAAAUGUGAUGGCUUACCAUUGGCUAUCAUAACUAUAGCUAGUUUAUUGGCUAGUAAACCGACAAAAACAAAUGAGCUAUGGUACAAUGUGCUCAACUCCAUUGGUUCUGGACAUGAAAAUGGUCCUAGUGUGGAGAACAUGAGAGGGAUAUUAUCUCUUAGCUAUCGUGACCUACCUCCUCACUUGAAAACUUGCUUGUUGUACCUAAGCAUAUUUCCGGAGGAUCAUAUGAUUAAUAGAGAUAAACUGAUAUGGGGAUGGGUUGCAGAAGAUUUUAUUCAUGAUAAGCAAAGGGGGAACUUAUAUAAACAAGGAGAAAAUUACUUCAAUGAGUUGAUUAAUCGGAAUAUGCUUCAGCCUGUUGAUAUUGACACUCAUGGUAGUGCAAAAACAUGUCGUGUACAUGAUAUGGUACUUGAUCUCAUCACUUCGUUAUCGGCCGAGGAAAAUUUUGUUAGUAUACUAGGAGGUCAGCAGCCAUUGUCUACAGGGAACAAGAUCCGCCGAUUAUCAAUCCAAGAGAACAAUGGAGAGCACAAUAUGCUUGAUAAAUCCAUGGACUUAUCCCAUGUAAGGCUACUUUUUGUCUUCAGGUCUGCUAUUGACAUGAUUCCAUCACUUUUGAGCUUCCAGGUUCUACGUGUGCUGGAUCUCGAAGAAUGCCAACAUUUGGAUAGUUGUUAUUUGAAGGAUAUCACAAAUUUGCUGCAUUUGAGGUAUCUAGGACUAGGACGCACAUAUAUUACUGAGCUUCCAAAAGAAAUUGGGAAUUUACAGUACUUGCAGACACUGGACCUGAGGGAAACAAAAAUACAUGAGUUGCCAUCAACAGUUGUUCAGUUGAGACAACUGGUACGCUUAUAUGUUUCCAUAGGCACUAGAGUGCCCGUGGGAAUAGGAAAUAUGGAAUCACUAGAAGAGUUGUCAAAAAUUAACAUCUCUGAGUCUCCAAACUUUGUGAAAGAGUUAGGCACUCUGACUGAACUAAGAGUGCUUGAAAUUUGGGCCAAUGGAUGGGACAGCAGCUACGAGAAACCUUUUCUGGAAUCUCUAAGCAGCCUCCACAAAAUCCAAAUUCUCUCUGUUUUUGCUGCUGACGUGUCGCUGGAUUUCACGUCAGAAGGUUGGGUCCCUAAAUGUUUACAAACCUUCUGGGCUUGGGAUAGCCCAUUCUCUAUUCUGCCUAGGUGGAUUAACUGCUCUCUCCAGAACUUGUCCAUCAGACUCAACAAAAUACAACAGGAGCAUGUUCAAAUCCUUGGGGGUUUGCCUGCACUUCAUUUUCUUGAACUGCUAGUGAUAGAUCACCCAGAAGUAAAACUGAUCAUUGGUCGUGACAAUACAUUCCAGUGUUUAAGUGAAUUCGCAUUUGAAUGUAGAGCAGCCGGGCUGGUAUUUGCACAAGAAGCUCUGCAGGGACUUCAAAGGCUCAGGUUUGAUUUUGGAGUGCGGGAAACAAAAGAUCUGUAUGGUGAUUUUGAAUUUGGAUUGGAGAAUCUGUCUUCAGUUAAGCGUGUCCGCAUUGAUAUUGAUUGUGAUGGUGCCUGGGUUUCGGAGGUGGAAGCUCUGGAGAUUCUGAUCAAGAAGACAACCAAUGUGUAUGCCCCUAUUCUAAAUAUAAGCAGGCGUCUUGAAGAAGACAUGCUAAAACAUGAAGACAUUGGACUGGCAAACAAAAAGGAAGAGAAUUGGCCUGCCAAGAAUGGGCCUUGGGGUGGAAAUGGUGGUAGGGCUCGCGACAUCAAGGUGGCACCGCAAAGCCUGGAAAGUGUGACGAUUCGCAGUGGUUCAGUUGUUGAUUCACUCGCUUUCUCUUUCAAGGACGGAAAUGGCCGGCACCACACUGCAGGCCCGUGGGGCAGUGAUGGUGGGAGCGGCAAGACGAUUAAGCUUGGUCCUACAGAGUUUGUGACUGAAGUUUCGGGAACAUUCGGUUCAUUUGGUGCGUUGUCCAAUGUUUUGACAUCGCUCACUUUGGUCACUAACUGCGGCAGCUAUGGGCCUUUUGGAAAAAGACAAGGAAGUCCUUUCAAAACUACGAUGCAGAGUAAUAGCAGCAUUGUCGGCUUCUUUGGUAGGGCUGGCCAAUUUGUUGAUGCAAUUGGUGUUUAUGUGCUUCCAUUCCCAGUCUAGCUUCGGCUGGGUGCCUUCCGAAAGAUUUCAAAGAGGCCUGGAGCUAAUCUUUCCAUUACCAUAGCAAAUAGCCAAGUGGUUCGUGCACAUGCUCAGGCAAGAUUUUUAAAUGUGAGACUGCUUCAGCCUAUCAACUUCUGGGCCUACUGAGGCAACAAUCAUGUGACAUAUGUGGUAAGCAACUCAAGUUAAUUCAAAAAAAAAAAAAAACAAUCAUGUGUACGUAUAUAAGUCUAAUAUAGUUCACAUUGUCCUGUUUCCUUUUAUACCAAAAAACUGAUAAUAUUUGUUUUGUUUUGUACUUUGGGUCCACGAGUGGUGCCGUGGGACCAUUCUUGCCCGUCAUGAAGUUGAGCAGAAAUGAAGUUGAAGGGAAAUUGCCCCCGCAAAAAAAAGGGAAAUUUGUCAACCAGUCGGCAUCCGUGUGUAUAUCUUUCCCUUUUUGAGGGAAAACAUUGCAGGUUCAUUCAAACAUUCAUGUUACGUUCCCAAGACAUCACCGACCUAACGGAAAGUGUUGGCACCUGAAGCCAUGUCUUGCAAAUUUUAUUCUUGCAACCUUCCGUGACUAGUAUUUUCUUUACCCCGAAACAGUAGAACAAUUGUUCUAAGAUAUUUUAUAUUUAUAAUGUACAAAGUAUUUAUACUA